rnacentral:misc_RNA from 1 species
UUAUUAGGUUAUAAUAAGACGUUACGUUUAGGACUACUAAUGUUUGUAUAAAGGGCGAACCCCGAUCAAUAAAGAUUCAAGGCUCUACAGUGCACAGGUGUGUGGAUAAAAAGGUAGGGUCUAGUCUUGCGACGUUGACCACCACCCAGUUUAUUUCUCUAAUGAUCCUUCCGCAGGUUCACCUACGGAAA